AGUAGCCUCCCCUUCCUGCACCGGCUCAGUGUGCACCGAAGAACCCAGUGGAAUGUUGACAGUUUCUUUUAGAUGUUGGGACAAACUGUAAUCAUGAAGCUUAGCGCCUGGAGUCUCGGUGCGCCCGGUGGUGGCUUGUAGGCACAAGUCCAGACUUUGUCUCUCUCCUUCCCCAGAUCUUUGCGGUCCAGCGGAACACGUGCAUNAGCGCCUGGAGUCUCGGUGCGCCCGGUGGCUUGUAGGCCCAAGUCCAGACUUUGUCUCUCUCCUUCCCCAUCUCUUUGCGGUCCAGCGGGACACGUGCACGGAAGCUCAGCUUCUGGGGCAGGCCCCUCUGAGCUGGAAGGCUGGAUGCAUCUCUCUGGUUUUUCUGUCUCUGGAGCCAUUGGGGAGCUCAGGGUUUGUCAUGUAUAGUGUCUGUCCCCAGGUUGGUACAGAGACGCUGCCUCCAGGGGAGAAGUUGUCUCUGUCUGGGUAGCAGAGACCCAUUUUGGGCACUUAACAAAAUGGAGAAAAGUGUUGAACAGACCAUUAUUAUUAUUAUUAUUAUUAUUAUUAUUAUUACUUUUUACAUAAAAGACUUUCCCCUGUGCCGUCAUGCAUUCUGGGACUCAGCAACCGAGAGCAGAAAAGUGAAAAAUGGACUGUCUUUUCCCUCCUAGACUCUCUGUUCACUCCAUCGCUGACAGUGAGUUAAAAAUACUUGGCUGGUGAGAAAGGUGAGAAAUGGAUGACUCAGUCCCUCCAAAUAAAGAAUCUGCCGCUGGAACGGAAGGCUGGUCAGAGCCAGCGCGCUGAGGAGUCGUUUUUAGGCCCUGUCCUGCGAGGCGACAUUCAAGAUUACUCCUGCUUCAUCCUGGCUGCCUUACGUGGAGUCUCUGCAGCGCGUGCGAUGUGUGAUGUUGGAAAAGCCAGGCCGUUCCUCUGUGACUCCAUGGGGCCUUCCCUGUGGGUUGCUGCUCUGGCUUGGCCCCUCCAAUGUUCAAGGAUGCUGUGAGGCGCAUUUACCUGCUCUGCGGUCUGGUAGGGAUCGUUUAUUUAUUUCUCCAAGGCUCAUUCCACAAAGGAUUCGAAAGUGACAGGCUUUCGGCUGACACUUUCUUUGGAGCCCCUGUAUGUAAAUGCUAGGGUGCUG
rnacentral:lncRNA from 1 species